rnacentral:rRNA from 1 species
UACGUAGGUGGCGAGCGUUGUCCGGAUUUACUGGGCGUAAAGAGCGCGCAGGCGGUCGUUCAAGUCGCGUGUGAAAGCCCCCGGCUCAACUGGGGAGGGUCACGCGAUACUGAUCGACUCGAAGGCAGGAGAGGGUAGUGGAAUUCCCGGUGUAGUGGUGAAAUGCGUAGAUAUUCGGAAGAACACCAGUGGCGAAGGCGGCUCACUGGACUGGUAUUGACGCUGAGGUGCGAAAGCGUGGGGAGCAAACAGG